UACGGGGGGAGCAAGCGUUGUUCGGAUUUACUGGGCGUAAAGGGCGCGUAGGCGGUCGUGACAAGUCACUUGUGAAAUCUCCGGGCUUAACUCGGAACGGUCAAGUGAUACUGUCGGACUAGAGUACAGAAGGGGCAACUGGAAUUCUCGGUGUAGCGGUGAAAUGCGUAGAUAUCGUGAGGAACACCAGAGGCGAAGGCGGUUACCUGGACAGUUACUGACGCUCAGGCAC
rnacentral:rRNA from 1 species